rnacentral:rRNA from 1 species
UACAGAGGGGGCAAGCGUUGUUCGGAAUUACUGGGCGUAAAGGGCGCGUAGGCGGCCUUCUAAGUCGAACGUGAAAUCCCUGGGCUCAACCCAGGAACUGCGUCCGAUACUGGAAGGCUUGAAUCUGGGAGAGGGAUGCGGAAUUCCAGGUGUAGCGGUGAAAUGCGUAGAUAUCUGGAGGAACACCGGUGGCGAAGGCGGCAUCCUGGACCGGCAUUGACGCUGAGGCGCGAAAGCCAGGGGAGCAAAGCGGG